AUGGAACAAUCAAAAAUUAUAGAUAUGACGGAGACGUAUCAGGCAGCAGCAAGGAAGUGCAUCCUUAUUACGCGCAAAAUAAUUAUUCCUCCACCUGACAACAAGGACCCACCGGACGGGCCACCGUAUUUCGCGAAAAAAAACAUCCCCCCUGACUGUUGGGACCCAUCGGAUGGGCCACCGUAUUUCAUGAAAAAAACGUUCCCCCCUCUGUCAGCUCGGACCCACCGGAAGUGCCUCCUUAUUACGCACAAAAAAAUGAAUACCCUCCCUGCUACCUGGGACCCUCCUUGGUGGGAGGCUGACUUGUGGGCCUACUAA
rnacentral:rRNA from 1 species